GUGGGGAAUAUUGGACAAUGGGCGCAAGCCUGAUCCAGCAAUGCCGCGUGGGUGAAGAAGGCUUUCGGGUUGUAAAGCCCUUUCACCGGGGACGAUGAUGACGGUACCCGGAAAAGAAGCCCCGGCUAACUCCGUGCCAGCAGCCGCGGUAAGACGGAGGGGGCUAGCGUUGUUCGGAAUCACUGGGCGUAAAGCGCGCGUAGGCGGCCGCUCAAGUUGGGCGUGAAAGCCCGGGGCUCAACCCCGGAAUGGCGCACAAGACUGGGUGGCUCGAGGCCGGGAGAGGAGAGUGGAAUUCCCAGUGUAGAGGUGAAAUUCGUAGAUCUUGGGAAGAACACCGGUGGCGAAGGCGGCUCUCUGGUCCGGUUCUGACGCUGAGGUGCGAAAGCGUGGGGAGCAAACAGG
rnacentral:rRNA from 1 species